rnacentral:rRNA from 1 species
AUUGAACGCUGGCGGCAUGCUUUACACAUGCAAGUCGAACGGUAACAGGCCGCAAGGUGCUGACGAGUGGCGAACGGGUGAGUAAUGCAUCGGAACGUGCCCAGCCGUGGGGGAUGACGCAGCGAAAGCUGCGCUAAUACCGCAUACGAUCUAUGGAUGAAAGCGGGGGACCGUAAGGCCUCGCGCGAUUGGAGCGGCCGAUGUCAGAUUAGGUAGUUGGUGGGGUAAAGGCUCACCAAGCCAACGAUCUGUAGCUGGUCUGAGAGGACGACCAGCCACACUGGGACUGAGACACGGCCCAGACUCCUACGGGAGGCAGCAGUGGGGAAUUUUGGACAAUGGGCGCAAGCCUGAUCCAGCAAUGCCGCGUGCAGGAAGAAGGCCUUCGGGUUGUAAACUGCUUUUGUACGGAACGAAACGGUCCUGGUUAAUACCUGGGGCUAAUGACGGUACCGUAAGAAUAAGCACCGGCUAACUACGUGCCAGCCGCCGCGGUAA